UCUGCAACUUGUAGGGGUAGUGCCAGUUUUACAGGCUUUGGGGCUCUGAGAAAGUACCUGUCAGUCAUGAAGACGAUGUCGGUUGAUUUUCAUAGCCAUCCUGAGAGGCCUGAAGAAGAAAGGCAUUCACCACCCAACACCCAUCCAGAUCCAGGGCAUCCCCACCAUGCAAGACACUGGUGUUCACGUUGCCCGUCAUCAUGUUCUGCCUGGAACAAGAGAAGAGGUUACCCUUCUCAAAGCGCGAGGGGCCCUAUGGACUCAUCAUCUGCCCCUCGGUAAGAUAGGCUGGCCUGGAGGGCAGGCCAGAGAUUGGGGCUGCCAUCUGGUGCCAGCCUUUGUCCCUCUGCCUGCAGCGGGAGCUGGCCCGGCAGACCCAUGGCAUCCUGGAGUACUACUGCCGCCUGCUGCAGGAGGACAGCUCACCACUCCUGCGCUGCGCCCUCUGCAUUGGGGGCAUGUCCGUGAAAGAGCAGAUGGAGACCAUCCGACACGGUGUACACAUGAUGGUGGCCACCCCGGGGCGCCUCAUGGAUUUGCUGCAGAAGAAGAUGGUCAGCCUAGAUAUCUGUCGCUACCUGGCCCUGGACGAGGCUGACCGCAUGAUCGACAUGGGCUUCGAGGGUGACAUCCGUACCAUCUUCUCCUACUUCAAGGGCCAGCGACAGACCCUGCUCUUCAGUGCCACCAUGCCGAAGAAGAUUCAGAACUUUGCUAAGAGUGCCCUUGUAAAGCCUGUCACCAUCAAUGUGGGGCGCGCUGGGGCUGCCAGCCUGGAUGUCAUCCAGGAAGUAGAAUA
rnacentral:sRNA from 1 species